rnacentral:lncRNA from 1 species
CAGAAAGAUAGGAAGGCUAAAAGAUAUUUGAAAAUUUUAAAUAUUAAAGUAAGGAAGCUUGUAUAUAACAAUGGAAACUUGCCUAAAAACAAAUUCGCGUUCUUGUUUCUUAUGUCACUAUCUAGUUUUCUGCAAUUAACAAAAGGCCAUAAAGAAUAACAUCCGCAAUCAGUUGAUAGUAAAAGAAUGCAGUCAGUUCUUUGAUAAACAUUUCAAUAAAAUGUGGUGUGAAGUAUAUUGCACACAAAGACAUGAUGUUUAUUCAUUUUGUUUCCCAUUAAAGAUUGGGAUUAGUAUCUACAAUACCAUACAUGAUAGUACGAAAAUGUAUAGCCAUGACAAAACAGAUAGUACUACAUGGGCUUCAUUCUAAGUCCUCCUUUUUGUGUCCCUCUUUUUUUUUCCAAAUUUUGCAAGCACCAUAGGGAAAAAAUACAUUUUACCCAUUGGUGAACAUUGUCCAUAAGCGAUCAACUGGAAAAAAGUCAUAAUAAAUAGGGAACAGGAACUGAAUUAAAGAAGCCAAUAUCUAAUUUGAUUAGUCAAAAGAUAAUCAUAUAUCCAAGAUACUUAGUACCACGAUUACCUAAUAAUUGCAAAUCCACUAUCCGUCAACAUUCCCGAAAGCUGGCUUUUCAUAAGCCACAAGUAACAACAUUGCCUCAAACCCAACUGAAGUAAACAUAGUGCAUUAAAAAUAAUCAGGAAACUUCUGAGGAAGCAUCUCACUUUUCCAAGAGAAAGAAAUAAAAAUGUAUAAGGCUCUAUUUCAUGGUCAUCGACAAAAAAUUAUGUUAUCAGUAACAUAUUAAUUCUUCAUCUCCUUGGUUUCUUUUAAAACCUUAAGUUACCAGUUAACAUGAUAACAAAGUAUAUCGAAGAUAUGGAAGCCAACUUCUACUAACUUGCUCAACAUAAGCUAAGAGAAGGUGAUGUAACAGAACAGAUUGUGCCCUUUGCAGAUGAGCAUAUUUCAAGAACUAUGAGUUAUUCGUUCUUCAUAGCUAGUCUAACCAAUGCCGUAUACAGGUCAUAUGGCAACAAACAUGUAUGCAUAGUAACUUUUGAGGUCUGAAUACCUUGUAAAUUGAACAUGUUGCGCAAUAUCGCCUAUUUUCCCGAGGAAAAAUGGCCUCAAAAUUACCUGAUCUUUCACUACUUACAUUGCUUUACAUAUCCUCACUUUGUUCUUUUUUUGCAUCCAAAAAAACUGCAACAAUGGUUAAAUUUCAUUGUCCUAAAACUAUAAGAUGAAAUCGAGAAGAAUAAAAAGGAAAUUAUACAUUAUUCAGUGAGGUCCAAAUCGCAACAUUCUGAUGUACCUUUGCCAGUAACAGAGAUUGACCCAUUGUAAGGUUUUAACAUAGUCAGUUUAAGACCUUGAAAUUAAAAAGAAAUCCAAGCAAUUCAGUUUUCUUGAACAUUGUCUGCACUGGAACAUGAAGAUAAAGUUAUAAGAUAUAAGAAUCAAUCGACUUUUGACAUUCAAACUUAACUUGGACUAUGUAAAGACUCCAUUAAAUAGGGUACGGGAAAAUGCCAAAUUAUUUGGAGUUGUAUUUAAACACUCUUGGAAACUAUAGAAAAAAUGCAGAAAAAGAAAUUCUACUUUCGAAGGCCUUGUUCAUGUUUGAAGAAGAAGAAAGCUAUUGUUUUAAAGAAGAAUAACCAUUGUACAAACCCUUUCACAUUCUUAACUAUAUUGUUGACUCUUCUUUCACAUCCAUCACAGUCCAUUUACACAUUUGUUUAAACCUUCUACCAAGAAAAACGAAGAAGAAUUCUCGAAUAGUACAAAAAUUAUAAAUAAAUUGAGAAUAAGCAAAGAGGAAAAAAGCGGAAAGAAAGAUAGAAUAGUAAAAAGCAGAAAUUUAUUGCAUCAUAUGCAUGUACAUAGAAAUUCCAAAGAUUUCAAUAAUAGCUUCAAUUAUCCCUAAAAUCAGCACAGAUCCAUAUUUACUUAAUCCCAAAUCUUCAUUUCCAGUUUUCAGCGCAAAGUGUAAACUUUGAUGCUAACCAAGAUUAGGUAUUAAGUAUACAAAGAAAAACGAAGAAGAAUUCUCGAAUAGUACAAAAAUUAUAAAUAAAUUGAGAAUAAGCAAAGAGGAAAAAGCGGAAAGAAAGAUAGAAUAGUAAAAAGCAGAAAUUUAUUGCAUCAUAUGCAUGUACAUAGAAAUUCCAAAGAUUUCAAUAAUAGCUUCAAUUAUCCCUAAAAUCAGCACAGAUCCAUAUUUACUUAAUCCCAAAUCUUCAUUUCCAGUUUUCAGCGCAAAGUGUAAACUUUGAUGCUAACCAAGAUUAGGUAUUAAGUAUUAAGUAUUAAGUAUACAAAGAAUAUGGAGAAAGAAGGCUACAGGGGUCAAAAACUUACAGUUAGAUUAGGAGUAGGGGAGAAAAGAAUUUUCUAUAAACGGAGAGAAAUAUCCUCUCACCGGUUUCAAUCGAGAUAGAGAGAGUCGGGGAAGAGACGGUUCUUUUAAUUCUAAUAGUGAUUUUGCCUUUCAAUAGUGACUGUUGGAUGCAGUAAAAGAUAAACCGUUUUCUAGUGUUUAGGAA